AUGUGUUGUUUUCAUGGCAGCUUAGACAUCUUUGAAAACUCAAAAGUUUCAGGGUCUCCCCUAGGGUCCUACUGUGACGUCAGCAUGGGCUUCCUGGAUUCCCGAGUCUUGCUGGGCAGGGUGCUUCUCUGGGAGCUCCGUCCAGGCGAGAAGGCUAGUGCCUACAGUCCGAACAAUGAAUGCAAAUUUCAAGUGAACACAGGCGCACGUGUGCAAUCCACUCAAGUUGCAGGUCUACUGAAGAAAACAAUCAUAACAUUAGUGGCAAUGUGUGUUCCCAUUAUCACCAUGCAAGAACGCUCACCUCUCACACGUCCACCAACUCCAG
rnacentral:lncRNA from 1 species